rnacentral:lncRNA from 13 species
AACUUGCUGGGAGAUCUCCCUGCCUUAUGUACACUCUGUUAGGAACAAGUCAUCCUUCUUGAAGAAAAACAAGAGCAGUCUUUUGAAAUGAAUCCCUUUAAAGGACAUCUGGUGUGACAUUAAGCUUCAUUCCUUUCUGGUC